AACGUUUUUUUUCGAAACCAAUGGCUUACAAAAGUAUUUUCGAGCUCAAGGAGCACUUUCAAGCAAGGCAACUUUCCGUUAACUUAUGAUUGCCAACUCUUGCAACCAACUUUUGCCACCAACUUUGACCUCCAUGAACUUGGCACCAAAAAUUGAUUUUUUUUAAUUUUGAUAGAAACAAAUCGUUUGUUCGUCAUUCGUUCUUAAAUGUUUGUUAAAUAACUUUAUUUGUCCUAAUAUUAUUUAUUUUUACCUACCUCUACCCUCCAUAAUUCUACUCUUUAAUAUAAUUUCGAGUUUUUUAAUAUUACUUGGAUCCUAAUUAUUAUAGUUACAGUCUUAGUUUCUCAUGUGCUCAUCAGAUACUUUUUCAACAGCAAAAUGGAGUAUAUCAACAAAAACUGAUAGAUCAUUAUUGAUUAAUGAUUGUAGUAGAUGAUAUUUUUUAUAUUUUGCUUGGGUAUGUCUUAACGUUAAGAUUUAUAAACAUGAAUUGAGACACUUUAACGAAGGAGUUGGUCAACAUGUUGGAAUUAAAUAACAAUGAACUAUCUAAAAAAUCAUGCAAUGUUUACUUGCAAAAAUUAUCAAUGCUUAGUGGGCAGUCAGUAAUGAAAAUAUCUAUUCAGAAACUGAUAGUGAAAGCGGUGUCGAAGCAAAUAAAGGAAACAGCUGUUUCUCAUGUCCGCUUAAAAACCAAAUUUGGAAAUGGCGUUGAUGCUGCAGCAAAAACCUACAAAAGUCGACAAUGCGAACGAGCGAUAGGUGAUGAUUAUUAAAGACCUUAAGCGUUAUAGAAGUGUAGAAGGUUUAAAACAUUGUAAUACUUCCAAAUACGAAAAAAUGGGGAUGAAAAAUGUGCGACUGAAAAAGCGACUACUAUUGACAAUAUCAAAACAGGAAAAAAAGCUCGCUAAUCAAUUCGACAUACCAUGAGAAGAGUUGGAGAUGCAGAGAUGGUCAGAAUUUAUUACCUAUAUUAAUUCUACUUGUGACUAUCAAAUGAAACUAGGAGAGUUAUUUUAACUAGGUGAUAUACUCUAGUGUACAGACUGUCGGAAUCAAUGAAAUAGCCUGGAAAAAAUAAAACAGAAGUUGAGUCCUGUUGUGGGUUUCUCAAUGAACACUGUCUUAAAAAUGAUACCUAUGAACACAGUAUUAUCGUAGCUACAAUAUUUAUUAUUAUUUUUCUGCGUUGUUGUUAGAACAAUAAGUGUGUCUACAGAAGAGGAAAAAGAGAAUAGAAAAUAGAAGGUCUUUUACGGACAAAUACAUUCUAGUGAUAUACGCGGUUGCCCUCACAUUGAUAAUCUUAUAUCCUUACCUAAGAAGUUUAGUUAACAUAAUCUCUUAUGAAUCAAGAUGUGGUGGUCAAGUAUUUGCAUAAACAAGGCAUUAUAAUUUGGAGUUUUUGUGCGAAUACAAGAAUUUAAGUAAUUGAACGACAAGAAUAUUAUUAAUUACCUAUUAUUGUGUCAAAAAACGUUUUUACGAUAUUAAUUGAAAAUGAACAUAUUAAAUUAGAUACAUUCAUGGCAUCACUACUUCAUGAUCUCAAUAAGGUAAAUCUAUUUUUAUUGUGUGAUAUAGUUUUUACUUCGUAAAAAUGAUAUAAUUAGUAUGCUAUAUACCUAUGACUUUAUUUGUUUUUUAGGGUGUAUAUUGCAUAUUUAUGAAUCGUCCGUUUUAGUCUACUAUAGUAAUUUAAAAUCUUCGAAUUGUGUUGUAACUUCCGGAUGGAUACUUCAAAAAUUUCUGAUUUCGGUCUUCAUGGUAUGCGGCAUUGUGCUGAAUCUGAAAACAUUGGUGAACAUCAAUAUAAUGAAAUCUAUUUUGGAAAGCAUCAGAAUUAUUGAAAAAUACCAAUGCACCUAUCAGAAAUACACUAGACAGUGAUAUUUAUUCUUUUGUCAUCAUAUUUUUGAGAUAGUCGGUAGAAAAGAACCAUUUGGUGGAGUUAGUCUGAAACCCAACGAAAUAAUAAACAAAGUAAAAAAGUAUCCAGAAUAUGACAAGCCAUCAUUUAGACCCGACAUUGUGAAAUUUUCAACGUCUGACACGAAUUGUGUUGACUACGUAAUUAACACGAUAACAGACUGCUGGACAGAAAACUCAUAAUUACCCUGAUAACACGAGUUGAUCGAGAAAAAGUUGGUCAUUCAUUAGUUUUCGACCAACUUGACGACAAGUUAUCGACAACUUCAGCUUUUGCAACUUUUGGCUACAAGUUACCGCCAACUUUCUCAGAAAGUUGGCGGCAGUAUGGAGCCGCAACUGGAAUGCAAGUUUUUGAGGAAAUUGAAAGUAAACUUACCGUCAACUUAUGAUCACCAACUUUUGCAAGCAACUUUUGCCACCAACUUUCUCAGAAAGUGAUCGUCAACUUUUUGGAUUUACAACUUUUGCCACCAACUUUCUCAGAAAAUGUCCAUCAACUAUUGGAGGUACCAACUGUUGGCGAUCAACUUGGUUCCAGUUGCGGCUGCAAGUUUCUCGUCAGUUUCUCGCCAACUUGGCUAUCAGGGUAAGACUGGAUUUCAAGACAAUUCUAAUAACGCGCUUAAAGAAAAUGAAAACUGAUAGACAUUGUAAUAUUAUAGAUUAGAUGAUGAAUAUAGUAGAGAAGAAUGUCAACAACCUCGAAGAUCUCGUCAAUGAGCUUACGCGCCUUCUCUUUGAGGAGAAACAAAAACCUGAGGAUCUAAUUAAUAGAAUACCUAUUACUGUUUGACUAAUUGAAUCGGCGUUGAACCUGAGGUUUUUGAUUUAGUAGGAACCUAUUGCAAUAAUAUCGUUAGAUUCAUCGCUAUGUAUGCUGAAAGUACUCCUUUCCAGGAUUUUAUUUUUCUUAAUAAUCUAUUACGUUAUUUUAUCGUGUAAUCAAAGGUUAUUGCGUUUCUAAAGCCCAAACUAUCGGUGACGCAUACAUGGCGGUACCUAAUUUUUUUGCAGUGAAAAAUUAAUUCAUUUACUUUUAUUAAUUUAAAAAUAGUAAUAGUUUCAAUGUUUUUAAAGCUUCUUAACGCAGUUAAACAUCAUACGAUUGUUCGUUGGCCAAAUAAUACGUCAAAAUUGCGGAUAGGAAUUUAUACGAGUACGGAAAAUUUAUGCUUAUUAUUAUGAUCUAUGAUCUGUUUAUUUAUUGUCAUAUUUAAGUUUAUAUUUAUCUAAUGAUACAUAAUUGUGUACAUUAAGUUUUACAAUUAGUUUUUGAUUACAUACUCAGCUUGAAUUUUUUUUUAAUCAAAAUAUUUUUCUUUUCCAAGCGAACGAAACGCUUGUCUAAUUGGUAUCAUUUAUAAUUCUGUUUAUUUCAAUCCAACUAUGAUUUUUAUUAUUAUUAAGAGAAUUAAUGAUUAUAAUUAGUAAUUAAAAUACAGCAUAGAUUUCAAGCAUAUGGAAUUUAUGUAUAUGAAAGUUACUGACGAGUGUUUAUUUUUUAGAUUUUAUAAUUUGUACCGUUAAAAAUUUUUAUAAUUGUUCGUAUUGAGAAUUUUGGUUAAUUAAUAAUAAUUAUGAUUAUGUUUAUAAAAUUAAUUUUCGUGGUCUACAGAGUGUGAAAAAAAUUUUUUUUUUGUUUUUGUAACGAAAGCGCUUUGUCGCAACCGAAGUUUAAAAACUAACAAAUAAAACAAAGGAGACAUAAUCCUUGUAUUAAUACUUUAACUAAAAAAUUAUUAAUGAUUUAUUGUUGUGUAAUCUAUAAUUUCCAUAAUUAUAUAAUUAUAUGAGUACAUGACAUAUAGAAUUUUUUUUGUUCACCGAAAGAACGCAAAUUAUCUGUAUGGCUGUGGAAAGUGAACUGAAUUGUACCUCAGAUGCUAGCGUAAGAAAUUAUAAUAUCAAUUAUGUUAAAUGUAUGUAGCUGGAUAGUUAUAAUCUAUCUAAUAUUUAUGGUAUGAUAAUAUAAAUAAUAGCUAUAAAUAAUAUUACUAAUAACUAUACUAAAAAUACCUGACAAAAUAUGUAAAAAUUAACAAUAGAGAAACAAGGAAUUAAAAUAUCCAGACACUAUUGCUAUCUAUAAUGUGGAAUAAAUAUUAUAAACGUACACUCAAAUUUAUUGAUAUAUUCUUAUA